UACGUAGGGGGCAAGCGUUGUCCGGAAUCAUUGGGCGUAAAGCGCGCGUAGGCGGCCCGGUAAGUCCGCUGUGAAAGUCCAGGGCUCAACCCCGGAAAGCCGGUGGAUACUGCCGGGCUAGAGUCCGGAAGAGGCGAGUGGAAUUCCUGGUGUAGCGGUGGAAUGCGCAGAUAUCAGGAGGAACACCAAUAGCGAAGGCAGCUCGCUGGGACGGUACUGACGCUAAGGCGCGAAAGCGUGGGGAGCGAACAGG
rnacentral:rRNA from 1 species